GGGUCGAUGGCGUAGCUGGUUAUCGCAUCUGUCUAACAUAGCUCGUUGAUACAAAAAUCUGUUCCACAGAAGGUCCUCAGUUCAAACCUGGGUCGACUCA